UACGUAGGGCCCAAGCGUUGUUCGGAUUUACUGGGCGUAAAGGGCGCGUAGGCGGCGUGGUAAGUCACUUGUGAAAUCUCCGAGCUUAACUCGGAACGGUCAAGUGAUACUGCUGUGCUAGAGUGCAGAAGGGGCAAUCGGAAUUCUUGGUGUAGCGGUGAAAUGCGUAGAUAUCAAGAGGAACACCUGAGGUGAAGGCGGGUUGCUGGGCUGACACUGACGCUGAGGCGCGAAAGCUAGGGUAGCAAACGGG
rnacentral:rRNA from 1 species